rnacentral:rRNA from 1 species
AGUCGAGGGGCAGCGGGGAGGAAGCUUGCUUUCUCCGCCGGCGACCGGCGCACGGGUGAGUAACACGUAUGCAACCUGCCCCUGUCAGGGGGACAACCCGCCGAAAGGCGGGCUAAACCCGCGUACAUGCCACCGGGGCAUCCCGGAGGCAGGAAAGGCUUCGGCCGGACAGGGAUGGGCAUGCGGCGCAUUAGGCAGUAGGCGGGGUAACGGCCCACCUAACCGACGAUGCGUAGGGGUUCUGAGAGGAAGGUCCCCCACACUGGUACUGAGACACGGACCAGACUCCUACGGGAGGCAGCAGUGAGGAAUAUUGGUCAAUGGUCGGGAGACUGAACCAGCCAAGCCGCGUGAGGGAGGAAGGUACAGAGUAUCGUAAACCUCUUUUGUCAGGGAACAAAGGCGGGGACGUGUCCCCGGAUGAGUGUACCUGAAGAAAAAGCAUCGGCUAACUCCGUGCCAGCAGCCGCGGUAAUACGGAGGAUGCGAGCGUUAUCCGGAUUUAUUGGGUUUAAAGGGUGCGCAGGCGGUCUGUUAAGUCAGCGGUCAAAGCCCGGGGCUCAACCCCGGCCCGCCGUUGAAACUGGCAGUCUCGAGUUGGAGAGAAGUAUGCGGAAUGCGCGGUGUAGCGGUGAAAUGCAUAGAUAUCGCGCAGAACUCCGAUUGCGAAGGCAGCAUGCCGGCUCCACACUGAC